UAUUGGUCAAUGGGCGAGAGCCUGAACCAGCCAAGUCGCGUGAAGGAUGAAGGAUCUAUGGUUUGUAAACUUCUUUUAUAUGGGAAUAAAGUGAGGAACGUGUUCCUUUUUGUAUGUACCAUAUGAAUACGCAGCGGCUAGCUCCGUGACUGCAGCCGCGGUAAUACGGCGGAUGCGAGCGUUAUCCGGAUUUAUUGGGUUUAAAGGGUGCGUAGGUGGUUAAUUAAGUCAGCGGUGAAAGUUUGUGGCUCAACCAUAAAAUUGCCGUUGAAACUGGUUGACUUGAGUAUAUUUGAGGUAGGCGGAAUGCGUGGUGUAGCGGUGAAAUGCAUAGAUAUCACGCAGAACUCCGAUUGCGAAGGCAGCUUACUAAACUAUAACUGACACCGAAGCACGAAAGCGUGGGGAUCAAACAGG
rnacentral:rRNA from 1 species